GACGAACGCUGGCGGCGUGCUUAACACAUGCAAGUCGAGCGGAAAGGCCCUUCGGGGUACUCGAGCGGCGAACGGGUGAGUAACACGUGAGUAAUCUGCCCAUGACUUCGGGAUAGCCAGCCGAAAGGCUGAUUAAUACCGGAUACGACAUGCUCCUGCAUGGGGGUGUGUGGAAAGUUUUUUCGGUCAUGGAUGUGCUCGCGGCCUAUCAGCUUGUUGGUGGGGUAAUGGCCUACCAAGGCUUCGACGGGUAGCCGGCCUGAGAGGGUGACCGGCCACACUGGGACUGAGACACGGCCCAGACUCCUACGGGAGGCAGCAGUGGGGAAUAUUGGACAAUGGGCGGAAGCCUGAUCCAGCAACGCCGCGUGAGGGAUGACGGCCUUCGGGUUGUAAACCUCUUUCAGCACAGACGAAGCGCAAGUGACGGUAUGUGCAGAAGAAGGACCGGCCAACUACGUGCCAGCCGCCGCGGUAACAC
rnacentral:rRNA from 1 species